rnacentral:tRNA from 1 species
GGACAGUAAGCUGACUCGGUAGCAGCGGCGGACUGAAAAUCCGCAGGAGUUCGUUCGACCCGAACACUGUCCA